AAGCGCUUGCAACCAGACUUGCGCGCGACGGUUCCCCCUUCCUUCUGGUUGGGCUACUCCGUCGUGUCCAGGCCAGCAUCAGUUCGGGCGGUUGGAUAAAGGCUCUGGGAAUGUAGCUCUCUCCGGGGAGUGUUAUAGCUCAGGGUGUCAUGCAGCCAGCCUGGACUGAGGUCCGCGCUUCGGCUAGGAUGCUGGCGUAAUGGCCGCAAGCGG
rnacentral:rRNA from 1 species